UACGAGGGGGGCGAGCGUUGUUCGGAAUUAUUGGGCGUAAAGGGUGCGUAGGCGGUUUGGUAAGUCUUGUGUGAAAUCUACAGGCUCAACUUGUAGUCUGCACGAGAAACUGCCGGGCUUGAGUGUGGGAGAGGUGAGUGGAAUUUCUGGUGUAGCGGUGAAAUGCGUAGAUAUCAGGAGGAACACCUGUGGCGAAAGCGGCUCACUGGACCAUAACUGACGCUGAUGCACGAAAGCUAGGGGAGCAAACAGG
rnacentral:rRNA from 1 species